rnacentral:rRNA from 1 species
GAGUUUGAUCCUGGCUCAGAUUGAACGCUGGCGGCAGGCCUAACACAUGCAAGUCGAACGGUAACAGAAAGCAGCUUGCUGCUUUGCUGACGAGUGGCGGACGGGUGAGUAAUGUCUGGGAAACUGCCUGAUGGAGGGGGAUAACUACUGGAAACGGUAGCUAAUACCGCAUAACGUCGCAAGACCAAAGAGGGGGACCUUCGGGCCUCUUGCCAUCGGAUGUGCCCAGAUGGGAUUAGCUUGUUGGUGGGGUAACGGCUCACCAAGGCGACGAUCUCUAGCUGGUCUGAGAGGAUGACCAGCCACACUGGAACUGGGACACGGUCCAGACUCCUACGGGAGGCAGCAGUGGGGAAUAUUGCACAAUGGGCGCAAGCCUGAUGCAGCCAUGCCGCGUGUAUGAAGAAGGCCUUCGGGUUGUAAAGUACUUUCAGCGGGGAGGAAGGGAGUAAAGUUAAUACCUUUGCUCAUUGACGUUACCC